rnacentral:rRNA from 1 species
AUUGAACGCUGGCGGCAGGCCUAACACAUGCAAGUCGAGCGGAUGAAGGGAGCUUGCUCCUGGUUUCAGCGGCGGACGGGUGAGUAAUGCCUAGGAAUCUGCCUGGUAGUGGGGGAUAACGUCCGGAAACGGGCGCUAAUACCGCCUACGUCCUGAGGGAGAAAGAGGGGGAUCUUCGGACCUCACGCUAUCAGAUGAGCCUAGGUCGGAUUAGCUAGUUGGUGGGGUAAAGGCCUACCUAGGCGACGAUCCGUAACUGGUCUGAGAGGAUGAUCAGUCACACUGGAACGGAGACACGGACCAGACUCCUACGGGAGGCAGCAGUGGGGUAUAUUGGACAAUAGGCGAAAGCCUGAUCCAGCCAUGCCGCGUGUGUGAAGAAGGUCUUCGGAUUGUAAAGCACUUUAAGUUGGGAGGAAGGGCAGUAAGUUAAUACCUUGCUGUUCUGACGUUACCAACAGAAUAAGCACCGGCUAACUUCGUG